rnacentral:rRNA from 1 species
UCGGGAAUUUUGGGCAAUGGGCGAAAGCCUGACCCAGCAACGCCGCGUGAAGGAUGAAAUCCUUCGGGAUGUAAACUUCGCAAGAACAGGAAGAAUAAACCGGUGUGAACACCACUGGCGAUGACGGUACUGUUUGUAAGCUCCGGCUAACUCCGUG